AGAAGACUAAUGAAAGAAAAGAUCUCUACACUAUCCCAAACCCUCAGUCGAUGUAGCAGCACUCCACUUCAAAUCAGGCUAUUUAUUAGUCAAUGUAUUAACUGAAGCCCUGGCAGCAGGCUAUUUCAGUCUAAUCCAUAUCCAUCAUCAACUCUAUAUUGUAGACCAAUAAGAUUCACAUUUAAAAAAGAAGCAAUUGAAGUUUUAAAAUAAGAAAAUCCAUCUAUAAACAAUUCAAUUUAAUUCAAUUGAAAGUUGGUCAUCAUAUGUUGUGAAAACUCAUUUAAACUUCAUAAAAUUGAAAUAAUGAUGGUGAACGACUAAGUUGCUACAGCAUUAUCUAUAGCAGCUACAUCUUCUCAGUGUAGUUCAGUUUGUAAAUACAAUCCAACAAAAGUGAAUGAUAUUAAUGCAGCUUAAAAUAUGUUAUUGACAGAGAUAGGUCUCUGUUUUGGUCUUUUAACUCUUCAUGCUUGGAUUAAAAGCAUAGUAAGUCUUCUAAAAAUUAGUUAUAAAUUGACAGUGAGAAAGUCGGCUACAAGGAUACUAUUUGAAAAGAAAAUUAUUCAAUAGCAAAAACAGAAAAAUAAAAUAUGGCUUCGUGAUGAAGUAAUUGUUCAAGUGAGGCACAAGAAGAAUAAAAUAAAAACUUUAAGAAGUUUUUUUAACCAUUUUUCGAAAUGGGUUCAUGUUCCAAAACAAAUGAAGAUUAACAAAGGCAACUAAUAUAUUAUUUUGACCCUUUGCUAUGUAGUUUGAGAAAACCCUAUCCUGCUAAGAACGCUCUUCUCACUGGUGUUCUUUAUGUACUCAAAGAGGUUCCAAUUUUUGACUAAUUGUUAUUUGCAACUGCAUAGUUUUGAAUUUAGUUGGUAUUCAAGGUGGUGUUUA